rnacentral:rRNA from 1 species
CCUACGGGACGCAGCAGUGAGGAAUAUUGGUCAAUGGGCGCGAGCCUGAACCAGCCAAGUCGCGUGAGGGAAGACGGUCCUAUGGAUUGUAAACCUCUUUUGCCGGGGAGCAAAAGACGCCACGCGUGGCGUUCCGAGAGUACCCGAAGAAAAAGCAUCGGCUAACUCCGUGCCAGCAGCCGCGGUAAUACGGAGGAUGCGAGCGUUAUCCGGAUUUAUUGGGUUUAAAGGGUGCGUAGGCGGCCUGCUAAGUCUGGAGUGAAAGGUACCGGCUCAACCGGUACAGGCUCUGGAAACUGGCGGGC